UAGGACGAGGUUUUUCUUGAGGAAAAAUCAAGGGGCACAAGUGCAUUCCGGAGGAAGGAGUACCGGUUGGCAGUAUAUUGGUACACACAGGCCCUUGGGAGUGGAAUCUAUCGUAGUGAUGCAGCUGUACUAUCCAACAGAAGUCUGUGCCAUGUCUAUUUGAAUAAUGGAGUUGAUGCUUUAAAAGAUGCUAAACAAUGUGUGUUGGCAAGGCCAGACUGGCCAAGGCUCAUUAUAGGAAAGGAGCAGCACUCAAACUAAUGAAUAUCUGUAUCCUGUUAUUUUUCCUUGUCAGUUAAUUUCUUUUUUUGGAAGUUCCUUUACGAUAAUUGUUGCUGCAAUAAUUGCCACAGAGGCUUGAUGAGGCAGCAGAUGCCUUUUUUGAUGGUUUGAAAUUGGAUCCUGAAAACAAAGAGCUUGAAGCUGCAUUCAGGGAGGUUUGUUUGGCCAAAAUG